rnacentral:rRNA from 1 species
UGGGGAAUAUUGCACAAUGGGCGCAAGCCUGAUGCAGCCAUGCCGCGUGUGUGAAGAAGGCCUUCGGGUUGUAAAGCACUUUCAGCGGGGAGGAAGGCGUUAAGGUUAAUAACCUUGGCGAUUGACGUUACCCGCAGAAGAAGCACCGGCUAACUCCGUGCCAGCAGCCGCGGUAAUACGGAGGGUGCAAGCGUUAAUCGGAAUUACUGGGCGUAAAGCGCACGCAGGCGGUCUGUCAAGUCGGAUGUGAAAUCCCCGGGCUCAACCUGGGAACUGCAUUCGGAACUGGCAGGCUAGAGUCUUGUAGAGGGGGGUAGAAUUCCAGGUGUAGCGGUGAAAUGCGUAGAGAUCUGGAGGAAUACCGGUGGCGAAGGCGGCCCCCUGGACAAAGACUGACGCUCAGGUGCGAAAGCGUGGGGAGCAAACAGG